UUCUAGAUGAGCGCUUGGAUAAGAGGGUGGAUGACAUGCUUGCUGCUGGGCUCUUGGAGGAACUAAGAGAUUUUCACAGACGUUAUAAUCAGAAGAAAGUUUCGGAAGAUAGGUAUUGAGGCUCUGAAACAAGUAACUAAGAGAUAUGCCCGGAAACAAAACCGAUGGGUUAAAAACCGUUUUUUGAGCAGACCUGGUCCCAUUGUCCCCCCUGUCUAUGGCUUAGAGGUAUCUGAUGUCUCAAAGUGGGAAGAGUCUGUUCUUGAACCUGCUCUUGAAAUCGUGCAAAGUUUCAUCCAGGGCCGCAAGCCUACAGCCACUCCAAUAAAGAUGUCAUACAAUGAAACUGAGAACAAGAGAAGUUAUCACAUGUGUGACCUCUGUGAUCGAAUCAUCAUUGGGGAUCGCGAAUGGGCAGCGCAUAUAAAAUCCAAAUCCCACUUGAACCAACUGAAGAAAAGAAGAAGAUUGGACUCAGAUGCUGUCAACACCAUAGAAA
rnacentral:sRNA from 1 species